rnacentral:rRNA from 1 species
UGAGGAAUAUUGGUCAAUGGACGGGAGUCUGAACCAGCCAAGUCGCGUGAAGGAUGACGGCCCUACGGGUUGUAAACUUCUUUAGUGCGGGAACAAAUAAAGGCACGCGUGCCUUGUUGAGUGUACCGCAAGAAUAAGCAUCGGCUAACUCCGUGCCAGCAGCCGCGGUAAUACGGAGGAUGCGAGCGUUAUCCGGAUUUAUUGGGUUUAAAGGGUGCGCAGGCUGUCGUGCAAGUCAGCGGUCAAAUGUCGGGGCUCAACCCCGGCCUGCCGUUGAAACUGCAUGGCUGGCGUGAGUGUGAGGUAGGCGGAAUGCGUUGUGUAGCGGUGAAAUGCAUAGAUAUGACGCAGAACUCCGAUUGCGAAGGCAGCUUACCAACACUUUACGGACGCUGAGGCACGAAAGCGUGGGUAUCGAACA